GGACUACUGGGGUUUCUAAUCCUGUUUGCUCCCCACGCUUUCGUGCCUCAGUGUCAGUAUCUGUCCAGAAGGUCGCCUUCGCCACCGAUGUUCCUUCCGAUAUCUACGCAUUUCACCGCUACACCGGAAAUUCCACCUUCCUCUACAGUACUCUAGCCUGACAGUAUCAGACGCAAUCCCCAAGUUAAGCUCAGGACUUUCACAUCUAACUUAUCUGGCCACCUACGCACCCUUUACGCCCAGUAAUUCCGAUUAACGCUCGCACCCUCUGUAUUACCGCGGCUGCUGGCAC
rnacentral:rRNA from 1 species